CAGGAGGAAAAGAUUGACAGCUCGCUUGAGUUUCUUAUCCUUGCAAGUGAUGGAUUAUGGGAUGUUGUCUCCAAUGAGGUUUCCUAAUGAGUUUUCAUACCAUGGGGGAUUUUGUCUUAGAAUACGACUUUGUUUGCAUUAAACUCAAUUGAAGACAGAAUGGGCAGUUCAUUGUUGCCUGCUUAUCUGAUGCUGUAUCUUUUUCUCAGGAAGCUGUUGAAAUGACCAAGCCAAUUGAGGACCCAGAGCAGGCAGCA
rnacentral:misc_RNA from 1 species